GGCCCAUGGCCUGUGGCUAUAUAAUCUCUCAUCCAGGCAGUUUACUGCCAUACCAUCUUGGAAGCUUCAGCAGAACAUCUCGAGUUACCAAUUUGCCCAAAAUUCUUACAACUCCACUCAAUGGCACCACGUAAAUCCAAGAAGCCCGCAGGCCGAAAGCAGAGAAGAAAGACCACCACUCGCCGCAGACAAAAACACCAGGCUGCCGUGGCCUGCACUUUCCAAGAGGAAACCUUGGUGGAAUACCUGCGCCGGGCAUAUAGGAUGCUGCCCGCGCGCCAGGCACAAGAACAGCAGUAGGCUGCAGUCUAUGAGGCCUCAGGGGCUAGCCCAGCUGGUGGUCUGCUAUUUCCUGGCCACCAUGGAGGUCUUGUGGAGCUAAGUAAGAUAGGCUGUAAGAGUAGUCAGAAAAAAAAAUUUUACAUCAAAAAAAAUAA